rnacentral:rRNA from 1 species
GAUGAACGCUGGCGGCGUGCCUAAUACAUGCAAGUCGAGCGAACAGAUGAGGAGCUUGCUCCUCUGACGUUAGCGGCGGACGGGUGAGUAACACGUGGAUAACCUACCUAUAAGACUGGGAUAACUUCGGGAAACCGGAGCUAAUACCGGAUAAUAUAUUGAACCGCAUGGUUCAAUAGUGAAAGACGGUUUUGCUGUCACUUAUAGAUGGAUCCGCGCCGCAUUAGCUAGUUGGUAAGGUAACGGCUUACCAAGGCAACGAUGCGUAGCCGACCUGAGAGGGUGAUCGGCCACACUGGAACUGAAACACGGUCCAGACUCCUACGGGAGGCAGCAGUAGGGAAUCUUCCGCAAUGGGCGAAAGCCUGACGGAGCAACGCCGCGUGAGUGAUGAAGGUCUUCGGAUCGUAAAACUCUGUUAUUAGGGAAGAACAAAUGUGUAAGUAACUAUGCACGUCUUGACGGUACCUAAUCAGAAAGCCACGGCUAACUACGUG